ACGGAAGGCAGCAGUGGGGAAUAUUGCACAAUGGGGGAAACACUGAUGCAGCAACGCCACGUGUGGGAAGAAGCAUUUCGGUGUGUAAACCACUGUCGUGAGGGAAUAAUGCUUGGUCUCGGCCAAGUUGAAUGUACCUCGAAAGGAAGCACCGGCAAACUUCGUGCCAGCAGCCGCGGUAAUACGAGGGGUGCAAGCGUUGUUCGGAAUCACUGGGCGUAAAGGGAGCGCAGGCGGAGAUGCAAGCAGUCUGUACAAUACCGGGGCCCAACCCCGGACCUGCAGACUGGACUGUUUCUCUUGGAUAGUUCAGGGGCAAGCGGAAUUCCUGGUGUAGCGGUGGAAUGCGUAGAGAUCAGGAAGAACACCGAUGGCGAAGGUAGCUUGCUGGGGACUUAUCGACGCUCAUGCUCGAAAGUGUGGGUAGCAAACAGGAUUAGAUACCCUGGUA
rnacentral:rRNA from 1 species